rnacentral:rRNA from 1 species
AUACGGAGGGUGCAAGCGUUACUCGGAAUCACUGGGCGUAAAGCGCGCGCAGGCGGCUAUUUAAGUUGGAUGUGAAAGCCUACGGCUCAACCGUAGAACUGCAUCCAAAACUAUUUAGCUAGAUUGUGGGAGAGGAAGAUGGAAUUAGUUGUGUAGGGGUAAAAUCCGUAGAGAUAACUAGGAAUACCAAAAGCGAAGGCAAUCUUCUGGAACACUACUGACGCUGAGGCGCGAAAGCGUGGGGAGCAAACGGGAUUAGAAACCAUAGUAGUCC